UCCGAUAUGGUGUAGUGGCUAACAUUAUCGCCUCUCACAUGCGAGCCGCAAAAUCAAAUAGUGCGCGAUAGCCCGGGGCUCGAUUCCCCGUGUCGGAA